rnacentral:piRNA from 1 species
UAGAUCGGUGAAACUGAGCUAAGGC